GGGCCUGCAGCCUGCCCGGCCCGCACCUGAGCAGUAACACAGCCUAAUGGGAGGGUCAGCAGCCCCGUGCACACCAGACCCUGUCUGCACUGCCAAUAUGUUGGUCCAGGCUGUGCUGCAAACCUCUGGAUUAGAGAAAUGCCGCCCGGAUCAUUGGUGCUGGAACAGCUUCAGGUGAGAUUGCCAAGCCACAACACAUGGAGCGCCACCAGAUAGCUCGCAGGUUAUUUACAGAGGUACAGCACUGCUCUGCUGCAAGCAGCUGCGAAAUGGAUCACAGCAGGAAUGAAACUAUGGCCCUGAUGAGCCCUUCCAACUCCCUGCUUGUCCUGCAAGCACUGGAAGGUCUCCUGGAUCUUUGAGAUCCGGGCUGGGGCAGCUCAUUGCUGUCGGUCACAUCCUGCCCCCCUGUUACAGCAGCUAUCCAAGGGUGCACCCACUGCUGCAGAGCAGGACCCGGGAUCCUGCCGGUCCUUCCAGGGAGAAAAGCCAGGCCCAGCCUUUGCAAGAAACACUGCUUGCUCUGGCAGGGCACAGGAACAUGCGUGGGCUUAAAUCCUGCCCCUAAGCAGAGGACUGCUUGCUUGGUGCAUGGGGAGCUGGAGGAACGGGCUCUGGUACAGCUGGGUAUUUAUCCAGCCUCGUCUCAAGGAUGCACAUGUGAAGGAAUAACCUGAGCACUGCUGGCAGGCACCCCGUGCUCACCCCAGCUCUGGGAUCUGGCCACACUCGUCCCUUUGUGGCUGUGAUGGCUGUGCUUUCUCUUGUGUAACGGGGGGCAGCACAAGCUGGAGCUGUAAUCAGGCAGCUUUGCAAAGGCACCUCGGGCCAAAGCUGCCCUUUGCUUUUUAAGUAUUUUUAACAGCUAAAAAAGCUUUUAGAUUUUAAGUAAGUAGUCCUGCAUAAUUCUCAGCGUGACUUGCAGGCAGAAGGGCGAGUGCUCACAUGUGCUGCACUCGCAGCAAGCCUGCGCAGGCUGAGGCUUUCCUCCGUCCCUCUCCCAAGCCCAGGCUGCCUGCACAGCAGUGCCCGGCUCACAAAUGUCACAGCUCCCUCUGCCGGGACCCUGCCCGGGAGAGCAGGAUGGGACCCGCUGCCAGCCUGGGCUGUGGGGCAGUGGGGACGCGGCGCAGCACCGGGAUGGCCACCGGGACCCACCGUGCUCAGCACCAUAACCCCAGGCUGGUGUGCAGGUGAGAUGGAGGUGGGCACGCAGGGGGUGUCUGGGGUUUCACGCUCACUAACUCUCCCUUUUUAUUUAGGACCACCCAAGCAGCUUCUGAAGUCACGCUGGUGCUGACAGAGGUACAAAGAUCCCCUCUCCCAACUCGUCCCUCCUCCAGGAAAAGGUUGGGCUGAGAAGGGAUGUGGCGGUACCUGAGUGCCGUGGGACAGGACCCCACGAGGCUCCAAACAAGCCCAGAAAUGCUGCAAAGCUUGCUGGCCCCGAGUACGACAUGCUCACCUCCACAACCACGGAGACAGACUGAAAUUGAGCUGUGGCACCAAAGCUCUUUGAGCUCAGGCACAUUGCUUGGCCGUGGCUCCUCAUUUUCUUUUCAGACCAUCUCCCACGACACACGUGGAUGCAGCCUUUGCAGGGCAGGAUGCUCAAUGCCCCCAUCCUGGGAUGUGUCCCCUGCAUCCCGCACCUCUUGUGUUGGACCUGGGCUCCGCUCAUCUCUGGGACAUGGAGAGGGAAUGUGGUUGUCCCCUGUCCCUUGUCCCAGCCAGGCCCCGGCGCUGCUCGGCAGCCCGGCCGUGCCAGGUGAAUCUCACCGGUGCUAAUUGCAUCUCCUCUGCAGCCGAGAUCAACAAGCUCCUUUUGGAGUGGGUGCUUGUGAAAGCAGGGUGGAGGCCAGGGCUGGCACACCCUGGAGAACACCCUUAAAUACCCUACCAAACAGAAACCCAGCCAGGCAGCAGGUUUCCCUGGCCCCGUGCUUCCAGCAAGCAAACACUGGUAUCGCGCCCGCUCGGGUGGCCGGACCCAGCACGGAACCCGUGGACCUGGGUCCCUUAGUGCCCCAAACACCAAACCUCCCCAUGCUGCUCCCUGUGUUAAAUCAGGCUUCCCAGCAACAUCAGUGCCCCGGGUUUAGCUCGGACACGUUCCCCCAUCCCUGAUGGUGCAGGAGACGCUGCGCACGGAGUGGAGCCAGCACGGCCACCCCAUCCCCGAGCUGCCUCUUGGGCCAGCCCCAGCUCCUCGACCGAAGGAGCAUCGCCCCCAGGAGUGAGGCCGAUGCCCCAGCUGCAGCACGGCCCCUGUGAGGGCGAUGUGCCAGCACACGCUGUCACUCGGUGCUUUUUUUUCUCUCCCUGUCCCUAGAUGCUGAGCCCCCAGACCACGAUCUGGAAGAGGAAGAAGGCAGCUGAGGGUUCUGGGGACGGCUGAAGCUGAGCAGUGCCGAUGGUGGGCACCAAAAAGACCAUCGCCCAUGGGACACCAGACACUGAGCUCCAGCUUGCGAGCGUUGCCUGAUGCCAGACCAGGUCCCUGCAGGGCCAGGAGCAGGGGAGACCCACCAUGCUGGGGAGUGACAGCAGGGCCACCCGACCCCACCGCGGGACUGCACCAGGCUGGAUCAGCAAGUACAAGGCUGCAAGAGGACCCCAAAGCCCCAAAUCCACCCGCACCCACGCAGAAAGAAGCAGCAAGGAAAGAAGAGGGGGAAGCCAGCAGCACUUUGUGUCUCCCAGCAGCCCUGGCUGGCCCUGCCGUGGGCAGGGCAUUCCCAAGGGAUGGAUGGAGAUGGGUCUGACUUCACCACGCACCAUGGAUGCAUAUCUAAAAACCACUCACGAGGUUGCUGUGGACACGCUUUCUGGAAAGGUAAUUUUUGGACUGCUGGACCGCUCACUAUGGGAAAGGGAGGCCUGGUGUUGGGGAGAGCAGAGGCCACGGGGAUGAUUUCUGAUGUGAUGCACAGCGUUCAACCUUCAGGGUUGUUUUUUGUUUGUUUGUUUGUUUUGUGGGCAGUUUUCUCCCAGCCUGGAGCUGCCAGAUAAAUCCUGGGUGACACUUUUUUUUCCCCAGCGUGGUCCGUGGGCUCAGGAAGCCAUGGGUCCAUGUGCAGGCUGAGCCCCGGGUUCUCAAAGACUUCCCAUCAUCUCCCCGGGCACCGGUUUCACCCCUUUUCCCAACAGAGCCCGAGCCUUACUCACUGCUCCCCCAGCAAACCACCCCACUUCCAAGGGCAUCACCUGCGCCGUGCGGGAAAGGCGACGUCCUGCUCAGGAACAGGGCUUGUGCCGGGUACCGCAGCCAUUCCCAGAACUCCGCUAUCUGUAAAUCCCACUAUCAGCUCCUUGCCGUGGCCAUGCCUGGCUCCAGCUGGCCGCAGCCCAGCGGGGACCUGGGGCAGCUCCGGCCACCCGCGGGCUCCUGGGGCUGGCGCUGCUGGAGGCACCUCGUGAGCCCGCUGCCUGCGGCGGGGCAGCCUCCGGCCGUGCCAGCCGCCCGCUGACGCCGGUCCCACCGCCACGCCGUGGGAGGUCGGGCUUAUCUGCGUUGCACAGGGCUUGGCUCAUUGUUGAUUGUUCUUUUUCCCAUUCAGGAAGAAAGGAGG